GACGAACGCUGGCGGCGUGCUUAACACAUGCAAGUCGAACGAUGAAGCCAGCUUGCUGGUGGAUUAGUGGCGCACGGGUGAGUAACACGUGGGUGAUCUGCCCCAAACUUUGGGAUAAGCCUGGGAAACUGGGUCUAAUACCGAAUAUGACCGAUACUCGCAUGGGUGUUGGUGGAAAGCUCCGGCGGUUUGGGAUGGGCCCGCGGCCUAUCAGCUUGUUGGUGGGGUAAUGGCCUACCAAGGCGACGACGGGUAGCCGGCCUGAGAGGGCGACCGGCCACACUGGGACUGAGACACGGCCCAGACUCCUAUGGGAGGCAGCAGUGGGGAAUAUUGCACAAUGGGCGCAAGCCUGAUGCAGCGACGCCGCGUGAGGGAUGACGGCCUUCGGGUUGUAAACCUCUUUCACCAGGGACGAAGCGAAAGUGACGGUACCUGGAGAAGAAGCACCGGCCAACUACGUG
rnacentral:rRNA from 1 species